GGGUGAGUAACACGUGAGCAAUCUGCCCCUGACUCUGGGAUAAGCGCUGGAAACGGCGUCUAAUACCGGAUACGAGCUGCGAUCGCAUGGUCAGUAGCUGGAAAGAAUUUCGGUCAGGGAUGAGCUCGCGGCCUAUCAGCUUGUUGGUGAGGUAAUGGCUCACCAAGGCGUCGACGGGUAGCCGGCCUGAGAGGGUGACCGGCCACACUGGGACUGAGACACGGCCCAGACUCCUACGGGAGGCAGCAGUGGGGAAUAUUGCACAAUGGGCGGAAGCCUGAUGCAGCAACGCCGCGUGAGGGAUGACGGCCUUCGGGUUGUAAACCUCUUUUAGCAGGGAAGAAGCGAAAGUGACGGUACCUGCAGAAAAAGCGCCGGCUAACUACGUGCCAGCAGCCGCGGUAAUACGUAGGGCGCAAGCGUUAUCCGGAAUUAUUGGGCGUAAAGAGCUCGUAGGCGGUCUGUCGCGUCUGCUGUGAAAACCCGAGGCUCAACCUCGGGCCUGCAGUGGGUACGGGCAGACUAGAGUGCGGUAGGGGAGAUUGGAAUUCCUGGUGUAGCGGUGGAAUGCGCAGAUAUCAGGAGGAACACCGAUGGCGAAGGCAGAUCUCUGGGCCGUAACUGACGCUGAGGAGCGAAAGGGUGGGGAGCAAACAGGCUUAGAUACCCUGGUAGUCCACCCCGUAAACGUUGGGAACUAGUUGUGGGGUCCAUUCCACGGAUUCCGUGACGCAGCUAACGCAUUAAGUUCCCCGCCUGGGGAGUACGGCCGCAAGGCUAAAACUCAAAGGAAUUGACGGGGACCCGCACAAGCGGCGGAGCAUGCGGAUUAAUUCGAUGCAACGCGAAGAACCUUACCAAGGCUUGACAUAUAGAGGAAACGGCUGGAAACAGUCGCCCCGCAAGGUCUCUAUACAGGUGGUGCAUGGUUGUCGUCAGCUCGUGUCGUGAGAUGUUGGG
rnacentral:rRNA from 1 species